UGGGGAAUAUUGCACAAUGGGCGAAAGCCUGAUGCAGCAACGCCGCGUGAAGGAAGAAGGCCUUCGGGUCGUAAACUUCUGUCCUUGGGGAAGAAGAACUGACGGUACCCAAGGAGGAAGCCCCGGCUAACUACGUGCC
rnacentral:rRNA from 1 species